rnacentral:rRNA from 1 species
UACAGAGGUCCCAAGCGUUGUUCGGAUUCACUGGGCGUAAAGGGUGCGUAGGCGGUCGGGUAAGUCUGACGUGAAAUCUUCAAGCUUAACUUGGAAACUGCGUCGGAUACUAUUCGGCUAGAGGAAUGGAGGGGAGACUGGAAUACUUGGUGUAGCAGUGAAAUGCGUAGAUAUCAAGUGGAACACCAGUGACGAAGGCGAGUCUCUGGACAUUUCCUGACGCUGAGGCACGAAAGCCAGGGGAGCAAACGGG